UAUCUGACGAUCCAGGCUGCCCUCGAUCGUCUCGCUACGAGGACGAGAACCAUGCCCCAGCCGCCAUAGUGGAGCCCUACGCCGCCGCCGAGAUCGGAGAGGAGCCGCCGCCGCCGAGGUUCGAGAGGAGCUGGCCACCACGACCUCCCUCCCCAGGCGGCCGCCACCACCCCCUCCCCAAGCAGCCAUGUACAGCAGGGCGGCGCCCACGCGCCUGGCCUAUGUAGGUCUCGGCCUUCCUCCUCCCUUCGUCCAAGGCCAGGAGCUCCCCCUCCCCGACCCGAUCUGGUGGAGAGAGGGCCAGGCCUUGCCACUCCGGUGGUCGCUGUGGCCAGAUCUGUCCGGGGUAGUCGCCGUAGAGCCUCUAUGGCGGCGGAGUAGCAGCAGCCCGACAGAAGGUGGGUGCCAGAUCGUCGUCCAGCAGCUCGCCGUCGGAGCUUCUCACUACAGGCGAUGGAGGCCGGUGCUACUCGGUCUAUCUAUGAUGUAGGGAUGAUGCUGCGGAUGGGAUGGGAAGAUGUGUGUGUGUGCUAGCUGCUUCACAUACGACUCAGAGAAAGAAUUGCUUUGCAGUUUCAGGUUGCCAACAUCACGAAUUUCAUACUUAUGGAGUGGAGCCACCAAACAAUUUAUGAGAUUUCCGCCAUGGACGCCGCCUCGCUCAUGGGCUCCUCCUCCGCCGACGCGCGCACCGACGGGGAGCACCGGAUGGGCAUCACCAUCAUGGGCGUCUGCUACGACGGCGGCGUCCUCGCCGCUGACACUCAGGACCAGCACCGGUACCCCCCCCUCGCGGAUCCAACAACAGCGGCUAGGUCGGGGUCGGAGAUGGCGCAUCGGCCAUCCGAUUCCGCCGGUCGUAGAUCAAACAGAGGGCAUGAUAAAGUCCAGCAGAAGUGGUGGCCGGGAUUUUUACUGUUAAUUCGAUCUGCAAAACAGUGAUCAAUAUAGUAUAUGUGCAGUAAAAUAGACAUGUUGCUGAUAGUGUUGUAGUAGUGUGUGAUUUGGUUGCAUAGUUUUCUAAUGGAAACAAGUGAAAAACUCUUUGAUUUUCUGAUUUCUUUAUGCUUGCAGAGAGGUUCCACGACUUCAGUUUGGCUAUCAUCAAAAUUGGAGGAGAGCCCGAUGCAUUGGAGAGCAUCAUCCGGGAGUUCCACAGGAUCGAAUUGAGGAGGCAUUAUAACCUGGCAUCAUUUGGAUGACUUUGUCAGUAGGAAGAAUGGCUAACAUGCCUGUUAAAGCUAGAUAAACGCGUAUUGAAGGAACUGGGGUAUGUCCGCCAUGUUGAACACCCUCACAAUGACGGGUACCAUACAAUGUUAGCGAGGACAGUGAUUGGGGGAUUGAUAUUUUCGAAGUAAAGAGGUGCUUGGAGGAGGCACGCGUCGCAGGUUUGACUGUUUGGGCUAUGGUGAUCAUAAACCCCGGAUAACCGACGGAACAGGUACUUUCUGUGACCAACCAGGAGGAGAUAGUAGAAUUUUGUCGAAAAGAAGGUUUGGUUAUGCUUGCCGAUGAAGUUUGCACUUGGUGAACUGCGGUAGUUUUGUGACGCGGACGCGUGUGUAGACAUCCUACAUUUGUAUAAAUGCGUUUACAGGUAUACCAAGACAAGCUCUAUAUGGAGGACAUGAAGUUCAAUUCUUUCAGGAAAGUUGCCAGAUCACUUGGGUAUGAUGAGAAUGGUAUAUCCAUAGUGUCAUUUCAUUGGGGGGGUACUCUGGAGUAUGUGGCAGAAGGGGAAGCUACAUGUUGAUAUGUAAAAUUCCCUUCACGACUCGUUUAGGAAUAACAGAGUUUUGGAGAUGAUGUGAUGGGUGAGAUUCGCAAGGUGGCUUCUGUGACUCUUUGCCCCAACAUAAAUGGUGACUUGCGAUGGAUCCACCGAAGUAUAGAUCUGCGAUUGACAUUUUUAUUGGACCACUGGGUGAGCAUUUGCAACAAAGAGCCAGGGAGUAAGCUGGGAGCGGACAAACAUAAUGCCCUGAACAUGAGUUUGUCCUUGCAUAAUUAUCCAUGUCUGAUGGUACUACACCGCUUUAGUUUGUCCUUGUAUUAUCUCUUAUUGAUAAAAAAUGUCCAGAACAAAGAAAUGAUGAAUUGUAGUAUAGCCAUUUUUGUAGUUGAAAAUUAUGUCUAAAAUUGAUCAUCACAUAGUAUGCUGGCAACUUGCAGGGUCGAUGAGACAUUGAUUGCCAUAUUGCUUUUCCAUCUUAUUCACAUCUUAUGAAUAUAUCUUUAACAAUAUAAUUUAAUAUUUGUGUUUUCACAGGUAGGAAGAGACAGGAUUAGAUCGCUCACCAGU